rnacentral:rRNA from 1 species
GAUGAACGCUAGCGAUAGGCUUAACACAUGCAAGUCGAGGGGCAGCAUGGUCUUAGCUUGCUAAGACUGAUGGCGACCGGCGCACGGGUGCGUAACGCGUAUGCAACUUGCCUCACAGAGGGGGAUAACCCGUCGAAAGACGGACUAAUACCGCGUACACUCUAUUUUGGGCAUCCAAGGUAGAGGAAAUGAAAUUCGCUGUGAGAUAGGCAUGCGUCCCAUUAGCUAGUUGGUGAGGUAACGGCUCACCAAGGCGACGAUGGGUAGGGGAACUGAGAGGUUGAACGCCCACACUGGUACUGAGACACGGACCAGACUCCUACGGGAGGCAGCAGUGAGCAAUAGUGGUCAAUGGGCGAGAGCCUGAACCAGCCAAGUCGCGUGAAGGAUGACUGUCUUAUGGAUUGUAAACUUCUUUUGUAGGGGAAUAAAGAGGGGCACGUGUGCCCCAGUGAAUGUACCCUACGAAUAAGCAUCGGCUAACUCCGUG